UACGAAGGGGCUAGCGUUGCUCGGAAUCACUGGGCGUAAAGGGCGCGUAGGCGGCCAUUCAAGUCGGGGGUGAAAGCCUGUGGCUCAACCACAGAAUUGCCUUCGAUACUGUUUGGCUUGAGUUUGGUAGAGGUUGGUGGAACUGCGAGUGUAGAGGUGAAAUUCGUAGAUAUUCGCAAGAACACCAGUGGCGAAGGCGGCCAACU
rnacentral:rRNA from 1 species